rnacentral:Y_RNA from 1 species
GGCUGAUCCGAAGGUGAUGAGUUAUCUCGAUUUUUCACAGUCAGUUACAGAUCAAACUCCUUGUUCUACUCUUUGCCCUUCUCACUACUGCACUUGACUCAGCUUAAA